UCAGAUUCACAGCCGCCUGCUAGAAAUGUUAACGACUGGAUUAGAAAUGUGAUUGUAAUGUGUGUGUGCUUCGUCUCCGUCCUAAUAACCAUCUGCAUGUGUGUGUUCUGCAGCAGGGUUCUAGGAAAAUUAACAUCAUGCAGCUUCUUCAGUCACACCACCGACUCCACUGAUAAGGCUGAAAACAUUUAUUAUACCACUGUUCAGUACAAAAGAAUGUCCACUGCAUCUGCUACGAACAUCAAGUCAGACUGCAGGACUGAUUCCUAACUGUUACCUCACAGCUGCAGAGACACUGACAAGCACAAGCUGCUAAAUGCUGAUGACCCUCAACUCCUCCUCUCCUUUCCUCCUUUCGUCAUUGAUGUUUCUGCUUUAAUCUCAGUAUGUUUAUUAGAGAUCUCACCAUGGAUAUGAGCUCAUCUUAAACUUAAUACCAGCAGGAGGUGAGCUGCUGAACAUCUCCGACUUUAUUCCCAUGUCAAUAUGAUGUUGUUUAUCAGGAGAAUUCUCAGAUCCUACAUCAUGGCCUACAUGCUACUUUUCUUGCUAAUCUGAAUUAU